rnacentral:lncRNA from 12 species
UUUAGCUCUGCACAUGCAGAAACACAUUCUCCACCCCCAUGGCCAACUUGCCUUCCGAAGUCUGCAUCAAGACCUGGACACCCUUGUAGGAGUACAGCCUGGUCAAAGCUAGCACGAGCUCUGGAGGUGAAUGCCCAGGGGCAUUGUCUGGCUCUACGUCCCCCUGUACCCUUAGGCAGGUUACUCAACCUCUUUGUGCCUCCAGUCCCUCUUUUGUAAGUUUGGGCAAAUAACACACUUAGUUCCUGCCUGCCUGCCUGAGUUUUCAUUCAUACUAUUUGCCUCUAGAAAUUCUUUUUUUUUUUUUUUCUUUUUUGAGAGAGAGAAUCUUAAUCAGGUUCCCUGCCCAGGUGGGGCUGGACGCUGACCUCCAUCCCAGGACCCUGAGAUCAUCCCUGGACCAAAAUCAAGGGUCCCAAGCUUACCUGACAGAGCCAGCCAGGCGCCCUUCACCUCUACAAAUUCUCAAUUAAUUGUCCUUUGAAGUGUGAGCGAGCUGUCGCUGCCUCAGGGCACACGCCCGCCUGCUGUCCCAGUUUUCUUGCUGGUUCUGUAAACCCUCGGGGAGCCCACACCAGGUUCUCAUGCUUCCUGCCCUGGUUAGAGAUACGGGGGCGGCCGUGGGUCUGCGGGGAGGACCCUGACGACCGGAAAGUCCCCUGCCUCGCCCCCACCCCGCUGGCCGCCUGCGCAGCCCCAAGAGCAACGGCAAGCAUUGGAAGACAGGACUACAAUUCAUUUUUUCUCAUCUGCUUGAACAACUGGAAGAUUAAUAGCUCCUUGCCCUCAAGGUAGGGAAAUAUUUUUUCUUUUGCUAAUUAUUCCACCUUAGAAUUUAAUGAGCCAUGGAAAAUGGUUGUGAAAGACAAAGUGAAAGAAGAGGGUAGUACCUUUGAGAUUAAGCAGAAGAGAGAAAGGGAUUUUACCCAGAAUAAGCUCAAAGUUGGGAAGUGAGUCUAAAGCAGCACCACACACCACUCAGGGGCUCAGCUCAAGGAGGUCAUGAGGCCUCACCUGAGUGGCAAUAUGGUGGAAGUGGACCUGCAAGCAUUGAGAGAUGCUUUCCAAAAUUUUCUGCACUCAAGUGAAGAAGUACUGCCGGACGUAAAGGGGAUGUGUGAACUAUGACAGUGAAUGUCUAGGCAGUCAUCAGUGGAGACAGAUUAUUUAUGAGAGAGGUCUCCCCGAUGUCUUGGUGCUGCCUAAGACCCCAGAACCUAUGCAAAAUCUAUAGGGAAGUGUGCGGAAAGAUCCAGUAAUGAAUGAAAUUGGAUUAUCAUCGUAAUUCAGUGAGAGUUUAGAGUUGAGUU